GACGAACGCUGGCGGCGUGCUUAACACAUGCAAGUCGAACGAAGAGCGAUGGAAGCUUGCUUCUAUCAAUCUUAGUGGCGAACGGGUGAGUAACGCGUAAUCAACCUGCCCUUCAGAGGGGGACAACAGUUGGAAACGACUGCUAAUACCGCAUACGAUCUAACCUCGGCAUCGAGGAUGGAUGAAGGUGGCCUCUAUUUAUAAGCUAUCACUGAAGGAGGGGAUUGCGUCUGAUUAGCUAGUUGGAGGGGUAACGGCCCACCAAGGCGAUGAUCAGUAGCCGGUCUGAGAGGAUGAACGGCCACAUUGGGACUGAGACACGGCCCAGACUCCUACGGGAGGCAGCAGUGGGGAAUCUUCCGCAAUGGACGAAAGUCUGACGGAGCAACGCCGCGUGAGUGAUGACGGCCUUCGGGUUGUAAAGCUCUGUUAAUCGGGACGAAAGGCCUUCUUGCGAAUAGUUAGAAGGAUUGACGGUACCGGAAUAGAAAGCCACGGCUAACUACGUG
rnacentral:rRNA from 1 species